UCGGGGUCGCAGAGGAUUUCGUCGAUGAUGGAGCCGCUAGUUGUACCGCCGCUGCAGGAGAUGAAGUUGUCGUGCCCCGCCUUCAGUCCUGCGGCGGAGGGAGGACACGGAGGUUGUUGACCCAAGAGUUACUUUGACUCCAAUGACUGUACAGCAUCAAUCAUGGAGUCCACAUUCAUUUAAGGAGGUCCAGAAGAAAGAUGUCCUCCUCACCUAUUACCAAAGAAGUGACCCUUAUACCAGGUGAAGCAAAACUGGGAGAAAUAAAGCUUGUGCAUUACUGUAAGGAGAGCACUACAGACCAAGAGACAGAAGAUAACCCACCAAAAGCUGAAUGGAUGAAAACUACAAGAGGCUAGAAGAUGAAGCUGGCCAGGGAGGGCUUACUGCAUAUUCUCAAGCUAGAAGUCAGUCCUGCAUAAGAAGAUGUUGCCAAGGCUAUGUUUGACCGAGAUAUAAAUCAAUCCAUUAGAACAACAGAAAAGUAAUGUGACGGCAAAAAAUUCAAAGCAGAUAAGAUACAAAUUCAAGACUCAUGGACAAUACUUAAAUGCAAAAUCAAUAGGCUCUCCAAAUUAAGGUUAAUGAACUUAGAUUGUAAGGAAUUUCUAUCUACCAGCAACAGGAAAAAGGGUUGGUUAGUUAGUUAGCAGAGAGGUUAACCAGAAGGACCAAAUUUCAAGUAGUUACACACUUUGGGCACAUGUAGUAAUGAUUUAUUUGGCCUUAGCACAUAGAGAGGUCAGAACCCCAAGUCACUACUUCCCACCUCUUUCCCGACGGAGAGGCGCGGCGGAGACAAAUAUUCUGUGGUUAGACUGGAAACUCGCGCACACACAAACGUUCACCCCACCCCACUCCCACACACUAUAUAUGGAAACUUGAACACACACACACAAAUACACACGCUCACGCACCCUUUCCCACACACAUACACACACUAAUAUAUACAAAGACAACAGUGAUAUGAUGGAGUGAUAUGCAGCAGGUUUAGUACAAUUAUUAAUCCCACUCUGUGUUAGUCUACGGCAAAAAUACAUUCGUGUGUGUCUUAACAUUCAGAAUUCUUGGACUAGGGGGGAAAUAAAACGUAACUACCAACCACGUGGGAAGUGUUUCAUAUGGGGUCUGACCCGAGGAUCACAAUAUUUUUCACACACACACACACACACACACACACACACACACACACACACACACACACACA